rnacentral:lncRNA from 1 species
UGAUAUAUAUGAAAUACUUAAGGAAGAUUCUUAUCACAUUGUAGAUGCUCAAUGGCAUUAAGUGCUAUCCCUGGUUUCCUGCCUUGGGGAUGAGUUAUGCAAAAUUUUGCUUUGUCCAUACAAUCUUCCAUACCUAUGAUAGUCUACGUGUGGUUCAGACUUGUAACUUCAGCAUCACCUGGGAAUUAGAAAAGCAGGAUCUCAGACUCCACCCCAAAGCUAUUAAAGCAGAAUUUACAUUUUAACAAGACCCCAGGUGAUUUGUAUGCACAUUACAGGUUGAGGAGCACUUAUUUAUUCAACAUGAUGAUCAAAAAUUCAAAAUAAGUAAACUAUGUGACCUACCAAAAAUGAUUUUGAUAGUGGACUAUGGAAUUCUAACCAUAUCUGAGAUGCCUCAGUUUGAAGACAGUGGCUGAGCCUGGCAAUGAUGGGACCUGGGUCAAGAAGGAGCACCAGGACGGAGACCUCUUCCGUCAUUCCAGCAAGAUAACUCCACAAGAAGCAGAAGCUCUCGCCUCCCUGGAUGGGGGAAUCUGGUGCAUCCCCAAAUCCUCCCAGGAGAAUUCUAUAAGUGUUUUGAAUCGAAUUGUGUUCCUUAGAAAGAUAUGUUGAAGUCCUAACCCCCCAUACCGGGGAAUGUGAUCUUACUUGGAAUUAGAGCCUUUGUAGAUGUAAUCAAGUUAAGAUGAAGUUAUUUGGGUAGGCCCUAAACCAGUAUGACUGGUCUCCUUAUAAGAAGGGGAGAAGACACACAGGCAGGGAAAACGUCACGUUACAAUGGAGACAGAGACUAAAGGGAUGCAACUACAAGCCACACAAAGGAUUGCCAGCCACCGCCAGAAGGCAGGCACCAGCAAGGAAGGAUCCCACUCAGUGUUUCUCAGAAGGAACAUAGCCCUGAUGACAUCUUGAUUUCAGACUUACAGAUUCCAGAACUGUGAGAGAAUAAAUUUCUACUGUUUUAAGCCACCUAGUUUAUGGUACUUUUUUAUGGCAGCCCUAGAAAACAACUGGAGUAAGUAUAAAUAUACUCCUCCUAGUGAGCCUCAUGACUGAUGAGAAAUAAAAAUGGAAUGUUAGCAAGGGCAAGAGUGGAGAGAAAUCAUGGGGGCCAGGCUGGGCGCCUGACGGCUUGUCCUCUGUCCCUCUAGGCCCCCUGAAGUCUGCAGCGUGCAACUAGUUUAGGGACCAUAUUUGCUUCAGCUCUUUCAGGAAAUGUAAGGUUCAGCUAUGACGAUCUGUUGCUUAUAAAAAUAUAAAUGCUUAUGCCUCUGCUCAUUUGUGUGUAUAUUUAUUUAAGUCUUAGAUAUAGCUGUGUAUGUUUUGCAUGUUUCUUGUUGAACACUAGUCCAUAGAAUGUUUUCCUGGUUAUAGUGAAUUUCCUGUUUUUGAUGUCAGCAUGGCAAUUGCUGUAGUUGGUGGUAUAGCUUGGGUCUGCUGGUACUACCCCUUUAUGUGAAUUGGGUGAUAAAGAUCCAUACCAGAAAGAAAAAGACUUCUUGGAAAGACAUAGUCAGAGAGCAGAAAAGCAGCUUCCAAAUGAGAAAGGAUAAUGUAUAUUAAAAGAGAAGGGAACAGAAGAAAGGUCUUAUUAAUUGUAUUCACGUAUUUCAUAUAUGUAUUGCUGUCUAGUCCUAACAAUAUCCUUAGGCACAGGUAUCAUGCCCAUUGUGGGGAUGAAAUUGAGGCUUGGAGAGCUUAAUUGGUCUGCUCAGUCACACAGCUAGUAAAUGGGAGAGCCAGGAUUUCAGUCCAGUUAUGCCUGGCUCUUAUUCCAAUUUGUAGUGGAAACUCAGUAACUAUUAGGACACCCUUGAGAAGAGCUGUUCAGACUUAUCAGAAUCAUGGAAGGAAGCUGGAUUCUUUGAUUACCAACCUGAAGUUGUAAGUAGUCACAUCUUUUUACAUUGCAUAUAAUGGCAGUCUUACUUUGAUACUUAAGAAGGCUACACCAGGAUGCAUUGUUGACACAUUUUUCUAUUGAAAACUAAGAUUUAGGAAAUUACAAUGGCAAUUUGAUCACCUUCUUUCAUAAUAAUAGAACCUAAAUUUCUAGCUGGGCUCACGGCCAUGUUUCUUGGUUUUCUUUGCAACAAGAUGUGUCCAUAUCACUAAUUUCUGACCACUGGGAAAUAGAGGGGAGUGUCACGCAGGUUCAGUAACCUUCCUAAAAGAAAGCUGAAGCAUACUCUUUGCCCCUUUCCUCGCCAACCCUCCCUUCACUAUGUUGCUGGUAACUUGGAUGUGAUGACUUGAGCUCUAACCCCCUUAUUCGAUGACAAAGGUCUUGCUCUAAAGAUAGCAGAGCAGCAAGUUGAAGAGCCCAAGUCUCUGAGGACUUUGUGAGGACUGGGGUUAUUUCAGUCCUGGACUGCCCACCUUCUACUUGCACACAAGAGAAAAAUAAACUAACUUGUUUAAGCUACUAGAACUGGGGACUUUGUUACUUGCAGCCAAUGCUAAUUCUAACUGAUACAGGUUUAUCACAGAGGCAGUCAGCUAAUAGCAGAAGGUAGAACAGGGAUUGCCAUGUUUGAGCAGCUUCCCAUAUUAUGGUGGCUUCUGUCCCUUAAAACACACACACACACACACAGACUUCUCUGUGUUUUUAGUUGUGUUUUCAUAGACUCAUCCUCCUCUUCAAAAAGCCUAAAACCCUCAAGUGAAGUAUCGGGCACCCAAUUCCCAUCUUUCGCCAGUGAAGUCAAUAAUACUUAAGUUUUAUGUUUUUCUCCAUUCUUUCACUUUAUUUUUCUCAGUCACUAUUACUUUUACUUGCACAUGCUCUAAAAUUUGGUUUGUCAAACUCUUCUCUCUCUCUGCUCUUUCAAAGCCUUCAUUAUGCUCCACAUGUUCAGAGACGAUAUAAUGCAAUACUCUGCCGCUUACUUUUACCUGCUCCUCAUUCUUACUGAUGUAAGGCUGAUAGAUCAGAGGAACAGACCCAAGGGCAAAGGGGAAAUGAAAUGAAAUGCUCUUAAAAACUUACUGGGAAGGUCUGUCUAACCCUACCUGAUGUGUCUCUUUGUUACAGCUCUUCAUUAUCUUUUUUUUUUUUUUUUUUUUUUCUCCUGGGUUCAAGCAAUUCUUCUGCCUCAGCCUCCCUAGAAGCAAUUCUCCUGCCUCAGCCUCCCUAGAAGCUGGAUUACAGGCGCACAUCACCACACCCAGCUAUAUAAUCAUGAUUUGUUUUUUGCCUUGAGCAAAUAAUUUGCCCCAAGCAUAAUUUCAAUUUAAUUAAUGCCAUAAAAAUGAAUGUGAGCAUAUUUAUGGGGAAUUAAGUUACAAAAUGCUAAAUUUAGUAUACAUUUUCUGAGGCGUGGUUCAUUUGUGACUUCCAUUCCUAUCGUCUUAUGUUUGCACAGCUGGUAACUGUAAAUUCAACAUGAAAACUGUAUUUGAAAAUCAGCAGACAUUUCACUGAGGUUGGGGGUGAAUUUGUCACUGCUGAAUUCUGUGAUGAUCUACAUUCUUAGUUUGUUGACUUUGAGGGGGUGAUAAUGGCUAUAUUACUCACAUAGGUGUCUAGUAUUGACCCAGCUUGUCAUAGUAUGAGAUACUUGAACCAUGUCUAGAAAUUUUUUUCUGUUCUAACCACAGAGAGGAACACUGAACUAUACCACUUGCUUAAGGAAUGGGUAUAACCUGGCACUGCGGAGGGGGCCCUCUGAAAGUUUAUAGUUCAGCUACAGCUCUGGUUAACCUCAAGCUCAGAGGUCUAGGGAAUGUGGAGGCAAAGGAUAUUACAGAAAUCAUCAGACAGACCCUCUUUCUGACUAUGUUAGUGUUAAUGAAGGUUCCAGUUCCCUUCCCUCUCACCCCUUAGCAGCAGUUAGUGCUUGGCACACUUUUUUCUAAUGGCCCAGACAAGGGAUUUCAGCUGUAAGAGUGGUCAUGUGCAAAGACAGAAAAGCCUUACAAUGAAAAAGCCUGACUGAGUACCUCCUUCUUGGUUUCUGAAAGGCUCAGAAUGGCUUGCAACAGAAAAUGGAUCUUCAGCAGCUGCCCACAAACAAGGUCACCGACAACAGCAACCAGCUCUCUUCAUCAGCCCCUGCCAACCCCACAAAAAGUACAUAUUCUCCUUCAGAAGGAUCCAUGAGGCCGCCAUUCAAUGGCUGACAGAAAUGGAAAAUCGAUUCCAGAUUCAUCUCUGCUGGGAAUUAAGUAUAUUCCUUGGAAAUAAUGAGUUAUGAGGUCAUUGAGGGCUUGUUCUUUUCCUGCUUGCAGAGACAUUUUAAUUUUAGAAGGAAGAGUGACUAAUGAACAGGACAUUCUAAUUCUGGUGAUGUGCUUUUUCCCAUUUUAAUGUCAGCUGAACCACAAAAAUGUUGAUAUUUCUCUCUUCAUUACUCCUCAUGGUUCAGGAAGAACAUUGUCGCCAAAGGGAAAAAAAACUGGGUAACUCCUGAUCCCUCCACCCAGUUUCAAAAGACAAAAUAAGGUGCAGCUCUGGUGUCAGCCAGCCUGUUUUCACUGCUCUUAGUGGGGUCAUUCUAUACACCAGCAGUGUCCCCACAAAACGACAUUUUCCACACUUUGUCGAUAGUAGUGAGAUACAAGGAAGACAAUGUCAUUCAGAACCCAGGACGUUCAACAAGGUGGACAGAAGUUUGAAAUGCAAAAAUAAGAAAUUCCCUUAGCAAGUCUCUCACCAAGCAGACUCACAGCUCAUUCCCUCCCCCAAGUUUAUAAGUACCAUCUAUUGAGUGCCAGCUGUAAUUCUGAUGUUGUUAAAAUCCUGUUUACAGGCAUUUUCUCAUUUAAUACUUGUAACAGCCCUGUG